rnacentral:rRNA from 1 species
CCUACGGGUGGCAGCAGUGAGGAAUCUUGGUCAAUGGGCGCGAGCCUGAACCAGCCAAGUCGCGUGAGGGAAGACGGUCCUAUGGAUUGUAAACCUCUUUUGUCGGGGAGCAAAAGACGCCACGCGUGGCGUUCCGAGUGUACCCGAAGAAAAAGCAUCGGCUAACACCGGUCCAGCAGCCGCGGUAAUACGGAGGAUGCGAGCGUUAUCCGGAUCUAUUGGGUUUAAGGGGUGCGCAGGGGGAAGAUCGAGUCAGCGGUAAAAUUGAGGGGCUCAACCUCUUCGAGCCGUUGAAACUGGUUUUCUUGAGUGAGCAAGAGGUAUGCGGAAUGCGUGGUGUAGCGGUGAAAUGCAUAGAUAUCACGCAGAACUCCGAUUGCGAAGGCAGCAUACCGGCGCUCAACUGACGCUCAUGCACGAAAGUGUGGGUAUCGAACAGGAUUAGAUACCCCAGUAGUC